GGUUUGAUGGCGUAGUUGGUUAUCGCACUCGCCUAACACGCGAGUGGUCCCCGUGGGGAGCCCGGGUCGAAUCA
rnacentral:tRNA from 1 species